UGACAGAUGGAAUCUCUUUCUUGAUUUGGUGGUUGGUGGUGCAUGGCCGUUCUUAGUUGGUGGAGCGAUUUGUCUGGUUAAUUCCGAUAACGAACGAGACUCCAGCCUGCUAAUUAGGGCAUUUGUCCACUGUGCCAGCCAAGCGGCGCUGUGUCAGCUGCUUGGGUUCAGUGUGGGAAUUCAACUUUGCGUCUGUGAGUUAGCACACAUAGCUGUAUAUUGUACUGCCUGUACUGUAGUUACGGCUAUAGUAUAUGGUGUGUGCGAUGUGUGGUUGUGUGAUCGCUAAUAUGCAGUCGUAAUGACCUACAUGUAGUAUCCGGUGGAUGGCACGACGUUAGCUAGCAGGUGCGGCGCAAAUGCCUACUUCUUAGAGGGACACGCGGGAGAAGCCGCACGAAAUAGAGCAAUAACAGGUCUGUGAUGCCCUUAGAUGUCCGGGGCCGCACGCGCGCUACAAUGGCGGUGUCAACGAGUCAGACCUUCUGGCCUGAAAAGGCUGGGUAAACUGGUCAAUCACCGUCAUGACAGGGAUCGGGGCUUGGAAUUAUUCCCCGUGAACGAGGAAUUCCUAGUAAGUGCAAGUCAUAAGCUUGCGCUGAUUACGUCCCUGCCCUUUGUACACACCGCCCGUCGCUACUACCGAUUGAAUGGUUUAGUAAGGUCCUUGGAUUGGCGCCAUCUUGGUGCCCCGAAAGG
rnacentral:rRNA from 1 species